rnacentral:piRNA from 1 species
UGCACUCUAGAUUCUGUGAGAGGCAUCGUGU